rnacentral:lncRNA from 1 species
CAAAUGAGAAAGCAGAAGCAGAUCAAAACCAAGAGUCAGUGUAUGUAUGUCUGAUGUUGUACUGACUGGAAAUGAUUCCAAAAGUCAACAUAUCUCAUCAGAGAUCCCAGUGCCCGCACGUUGCUAUCUCAUGGUUUGCUCCCGAUGUUUGGAUUCAAGCAUCAAGAGUGCAGGAAAUGAAUUUCAGUAGAGCUGCAGUGAAAGUAGAACAAAGAGAUUGCAACAGUGAGUAAAAACUCCCAAGAGAUUGACCAUACCCAUUUGGGCAUGAGUAUCUCUUUAGUAGGUGUCUAGGAAAGGUGCUGGUGUUUCAACAACACUGCUGUAACCUUUCCACAAGUGUGCUGGGUAAGAACAGGCACCACUGCUCUGGGAAAAAUGUGCAUCAGCAAGAUGGCAAAGGACUUGAAUCCUCACCAGACAAUCCAGGGAGACAGCACUUGGCUGAGGAUUGGCCAUGGGGGUUCUGUCCCCACCACCAGUGCAACAUUCUCUGUGGCUGUGACUGAUGUUAGGUCACAAAGGUUUGGCAGCCAGGGGUUGCUAAUUUGGUGCUUGCAUAGCUAAGUGUGGGAAAAGAAGCAUAUGACAUGGUUCCAUUUAUUAUUAAAAACCACAGAAAUGUAUUUGAUUGUUGGGGAGUUGUCCUUUGUCUUCCUGUCACUUGUUCCAUACCAUUGCUGGUUCUGCUUUUUACAGUCACAUGUUCCCCUCUAGGCUGGGGAGAGGAUUUUCAAGAUGAGUUACAGCUAUGCUGCUGACUUCAUAUUUGGUAGACUGUGCUCAUGUUUGCUCAUGUUUUGAUAUUAUGCUUCUUUUUUUCUACUGCCACAGAACUUCCUGCCACAUACGAAAAACUUCUGCAAUAAUGGCCUUGUUUGCAUGACAUGAUUUUGAGGAAAACCCUUCAUAGCACGAGGGCAAAGUGUCAGUAGUUGAACACUUGGGCACCUCUCUAAGACCUAAGAUGUCUUGCACAACAGUAAGCCAGGGCCCCCAGCAUAAGAAAGACAUAGAACUGUGGGAGCAAGUCAAGAGGAGGGCUACAGAGGUGAUCAGAGGGGUAGGGCAACUUCCCUAUGAAGAAAGGCUGAGGGAUCUGGGCUUGUUUAGCUGGAGAAGAGAAGGCUAUGGGGAGACCUCACUGUGGCCUUCCAGUUCUUUAAAGGGAGCUUAACAACAGGAGGGAGUGCGACUUUUUUACAUGGCCUGAUAAUGAGAGGACAAGGAAGAAUGGUUUUAAACUAAAAAGGGGGAAACUCAUAGAUGUUCGGAGGUGUUUUUUACUCAGAGGGUGGUUAGGCACUGGAACACGUUGCUUUGAGAAGCUGUGGGUGCCCCAUCCCUGGAGGCAUUCAAGGCCAGGUUGGACGGGGCCCGGGGCAGUCUGAUCCGGUGGGUGGCAGCCCAGACCGUGGCAGGGGGCUGGAACUAGAUGAUCUUCAAAGUUCUUUCCAUCCCAAACCAUUCUAUGAUUCUAUGAUUCUCCGAAUACAUUUCUGUCUCUGUUUAUCCUAGCAAGAGAUUUUCCCCACAGACCUUCCCUACUAGUCUCUAAUGUCUCCUCCAAGAGGAUUGCAAUUAUUCUUAAAAGCAAAAACUAAGCAAUCUUUUAUUAUUAUUAUUAUUUUACCGAGAAAGAUUGGGUCCUCAACUACCGCCUAUCACAGCAGUGGGGUAUUUCACCCAGGGAAUAGAGGAGUUGUAGUUAUGCACUUCAGCCCCAGAAGAGGUUCAAAUGCACAUCUUCCCUAGGAUAAGAGAGCCCCAGCAACAAGGUGGGUAAGCUCCUCUUUCAGUGCACUAAAUGUAAUGUAAUGAACCUGCAGUUGCUCUUACAAAUAACACACGUGUUGUCAGCAUGCCUUGGCACUGAGUGUUAUCUCCCAGGCAGGCUGGGUGCUCCCAGCUCACGCUGUGGCUUUCUUGAGAGGCUGAGGCGGAAGUCAGCUGCUGAAGCCACAGCAGAACUGAAGGAGUUUGUAAGAAUUCCAGGUCAGGUUGGGGCACCUGCAAAGAGUGUUAAGGUCCAACACUGAGUAUGUCAGUGUAUCCUGAGGGCUUGUUUGCUGCUGGGUAUGUCUUUUCUAUAUUGACACAUUGGAGAUGUGUCUUCUGAAGCAAGAGGUGGGUCAGCUUCCGAGUGACAGUCUAAGUUUUGUGCCUGGUUUACUUCAAUCAUUGUUACUGUUUGAAUGAGAGUCCUCUAUUGACUAUCUAUAGUUCUAAACAAGGAAAACAAAUACUGUUUCUUCAGACGAGCUGCCAAUGUCUCUGUAAUUCCCACGGUUGUAGUGCUUUGAUUGGAGUUGGGUGCCAGAUGCAUGGAUUCCUCUGACAAACAGCUUUCUGGCAGGAGAGGAAGAUCUGGCUCCAGAAAGCCUGUUUGUGUAAAGCGUUGCCAUGUUACUGUCUAUCGUUACCUGCACUGAUUUGCUUUGAAGAAGCAGAGAAGCUAGACACCAGUUAAAUAAAUAAAAAUAGAGAUAGCGAACACUUUGCACACAUCCAGACAAUCCCUUUCCUACCACUAAGUGACCCUGAAAGGGAAGCUUUAGACAUUUUUGAUCCGGCACCCCAGUAGUAAGGGGAAAAACUCAGUUCUACUGAUUUUGUUCUCACUCCGCCCAGUGAUGGAAGCCAAUUAUCAUUGCUGACAGAACACAAAAGUUUUCACGAACAAGGAAAGGUCAGCAGAGAGUGGAGACACUCAACCAGGUGAUGAAGGAGUGGGUGGAAGUGAAGGCAGAGGGAGCCAACAUCUUUCAGGGGCAGGUUGAUUCUCCUCCUGCUUUGCUUCUUGUCCUCCCCCAGUCUCCAAGCAGCUGGCAAACAUUCUCCAUUUUGGUUGGCAAGAAAUCAGCAAGUGACCUGAUGUUAAGAUCUGGGAAAACUGGGAUGGUUUGUUUGCUUGACCUUUAUCUUCCAGGAACUCAGUUUAUGCAUGAGUGCUCUGACUGCUAGCUGCUGGCCAGCCCCAGAGAGCCCCUGCUCUCAGUAGCCACAGGCCCCCAGGCCUGCCCCUGAGGGAGCAGCAGACCCUUUUUCUCUGCUCCAGACACCUCUCAUCUCAGUCCAUCCUGGGGAGAUAUCAUGGCUCCCGCCAGCUAUUCACACAUAGCACAACAUAUGUUUCUUUGCUACUGCAGCAAGAAGGAAUUCCUUCAGGCAGGGCUCUGAAGGCCCUUCCUCGCCAUUGCUCCUGGCACCUCUUCCUAGAUCCCACCACCCUACACAGAAAACAAAAGGACACUGAAACCACAACCACUUUGACCACCCACGGGGGAGACAGAAGUGCUCUGAGGGAAAUUCAAGAAGGAUCUUCGACCAGGCACCGCUGAAGCUAAGAUUUGUCAAGUCAUAACUUCAACGCUCUGCAGAGCGUUUGUUGUUUAAGACCGUAUACAGGAAAUCUGAGCAGUAAAUGUUCUCCAUCUUUGAUCAAUGCGCCAGCGUGCUGCUGUGAAGUGAAACAGCGUAGGCUGGCAGAUGAGAGUUUUCCCCAGGGGCAUUCUGUAGGGAACACAACUGAGCUGACUUAACAAGGAAAU